AGAUUCCUACGGGAGGCAGCAGUGGGGAAUUUUGCGCAAUGGGGGAAACCCUGACGCAGCAACGCCGCGUGGAGGAUGAAGGCUCUUGGGUUGUAAACUCCUUUUCUCAGAGAAGAAGCCCUGACGGUAUCUGAGGAAUAAGCAUCGGCUAACUCCGUGCCAGCAGCCGCGGUAAUACGGAGGAUGCAAGCGUUAUCCGGAAUCAUUGGGCGUAAAGGGUCCUGAGGUGGCCUGCCCAAUCUACUGUGAAAGAUCAGGGCUCAACCCUGAAUAUGCGGUGGAAACUAGCAGGCUAGAAUACGGUAGGGGCAGGGGGAAUUCCCGGUGUAGCGGUGAAAUGCAUAGAUAUCGGGAAGAACACCAACGGCGAAGGCACCCUGCUGGGCCGAUAUUGACACUGACAGACGAGAGCUAGGGGAGCGAAUGGAAUUAGAUACCCCAGUAUUCCUAGCCGUAAACGAUGGAUACCAAGUGCUGAACGACUCACAACGUGCAGUGCUGCAGCUAACGCGCUAAGUAUCCCGCCUGGGGAGUAUGCCCGCAAGGGUGAAACUCUGAUGAAUUGACGGGG
rnacentral:rRNA from 1 species